UUUUUGGAGAGUUUGAUCCUGGCUCAGGACGAACGCUGGCGGCGUGCCUAAUACAUGCAAGUCGAGCGAACCUUUCGGGGUUAGCGGCGGACGGGUGAGUAACACGUAGGCAACCUGCCCGUAA
rnacentral:rRNA from 1 species